AGAUGAAGAGUCCUGGAGAGAAAACUCUCCUCUGCCUCCUUCUGCUUCUUCUGCAAAGGCCUCCAGGUACCAUACUGGGAGGACACCAGGCAUGGAGAGAGCUUUGACAUCAUGAGGCCACGGUAUUCAGGAAGACACUUUCAAAGAUUUGCCAUUGAAAAUUGCAAAAGGAACAUCAUUAUCAGCUUCUGACUGCAGCAACCAGAUACCAGACCAACUCUUUCUUCCUCCUUCCAUGAAAAGGACAGCAAAGACCAGGUAACCUUCAGCACCUCUUGGCAAGGAAAUGUUGGUGAAAUUGGAAGGGUGGAUGAGUGCUGGAAGAUGUGCACCAGCAAGCAAGCCAUGGGAUGUGAUGAAACAAACCCAGACUGAGGUGCCCAGCUGCUGCAGAUGGCCUUGGUCUUCAUCUUCAUCACUGACUGCCAUUACCUGGUGGCAGAAAAGAAAGAGGCAUGUUUGGAUUUUGUAGGUGGCAGCCCCUGUGAACCAAAGACCACAAGGUUCAUCUCCAUCAUCAAGAAGACCAAUGGGAGCAAACCUGGAGGUUGGAGAUCUGUUAAAUUUCACUGGUAAUGAAAGCCUACAGAGUCUCCCCACGUGAGUCUGAACAUCACCCCUUCUCUUUCCUUAAGCCUUCAGAGGACAAUACCUGUGGCAAACAGUCCCAGAAAGUAAAAGUGCAGUAUAGCAUAUUGAAGGCUUAUAUACAAGGCUCUUUUGUAAGGACUAAUGACUCAUGCCUCCUGGAUUUAUAAGAAAAUGAGCAUAAAAGCAAUUACUGGGGUGUGAAUUAUUUUGUUUCUUAAUGACCUGACAGUUUUGACAGCUUCUAGCUUGCUAUCUAUCACAGACUCUCUUGAUCUUUCAACUUUAACAUGACUUUUAAUUAUACUUUCUUAUUAGUUAAAGGACAAACAAUCUAUAAUCUGGUUUUGUUCAGUCUGACAUAUUUAAACAAUAAAGGAGCUUUUCCUU
rnacentral:lncRNA from 7 species